CAGUAAUCUCCGUCUCUCGAUGCAGUUUACACUGUUUUGGAAACGGUUUAGUGUCUUCGGAAAAGUCCGUUAUGUUAUCACUUUAGCAGUUUUCAGGUAACGUUAGGCUAACUAUAUAGAUUGAGCUCUUGUUGAUGAAACUCUGGGCUUUUAAUCAAAUCUUCGAUUUGAUUAAAACAAAAGGAUUUUUAAAUUAAUUAUUGAAUGAUUAUUGAACGAGACUGUACAUUAUAAAUGCUUUAACUCUAGAUGUUUGUUUGUGUAAAUGCUGUGUGCGCGUUGAGUCCUGCGCAAGCGGGGAGCAGAGUUGCCAUGGAAACGGGGCAUCAACACAAAAACCGUUACUGGCAAGCAGUAAUCUCCGUCUCUUGCUGCAGUUUACACUGUUUUGGGAGGACAGAAAUAAACUCUACAGAACAGAAGUGAAGCUCCAAGAUUUCAACAUU